GACGAACGCUGGCGGCGUGCUUAACACAUGCAAGUCGAACGGAAAGGCCCUGCUUGCAGGGUGCUCGAGUGGCGAACGGGUGAGUAACACGUGGGUGAUCUGCCCCUUAUUUUGGGAUAAGCCUGGGAAACUGGGUCUAAUACUGGAUAGGACCAUGCUGUAGGUGGUGUGGUGGAAAGAUUAGUUUCGGUAAGGGAUGAGCUCGCGGCCUAUCAGCUUGUUGGUGGGGUAAUGGCCUACCAAGGCGUCGACGGGUAGCCGGCCUGAGAGGGUGGACGGCCACAUUGGGACUGAGAUACGGCCCAGACUCCUACGGGAGGCAGCAGUGGGGAAUAUUGCACAAUGGGCGCAAGCCUGAUGCAGCGACGCCGCGUGGGGGAUGACAGCCUUCGGGUUGUAAACUCCUUUCAGCCAUGACGAAGCCCUUGUGGUGACGGUAGUGGUAGAAGAAGCACCGGCUAACUACGUG
rnacentral:rRNA from 1 species